rnacentral:rRNA from 1 species
CUCGGAUAACCGUAGUAACACUAGAGCUAAUACGUGCGUAAAUCCCGACUUUUUGAAGGGACGUAUUUAUUAGAUUUAUGGCCAGCCGGGCUUGCCCGACCAGCGGUGAAUCAUGGUAACUUGACGGAUUGCAUGGCCUUUGUGCCGGCGACGUGUCAUUCAAGUUUCUGCCCCAUCAGGUUUCGACUGUAGUGUAUUGGACUACAGUGCCUAUAACGGGUAGCGGAGGAUUAGGGUUCGAUUCCGGAGAGGGAGCCUGAGAAACGGCUACCACAUCCAAGGAAGGCAGCAGGCGCGCAAAUUACCCAAUCCCAACUCAGGGAGGUAGUGACAAGAAAUAGCAAUGCGGGGCUUCAUGCUCUGCAAUUGGAAUGAGUACAAUUUAAAUCACUUAACGAGUAUCAAUUGGAGGGCAAGUCUGGUGCCAGCAGCCGCGGUAAUUCCAGCUCCAAUAGCGUAUAUGUAAGUUGUUGCGAUUAAAAAGCCCGUAGCUGAACCUCGGGCAACCCUGACGGUCCGCGUUUCGUGAGUACUGUCGUGGGUUGUCUUUCUGGCAAGACCGUAUCUCGGCGUUAACUCGCCGGGAACGGCGCUUGCCAAGGUUACUUUGAGUAAAAUAGAGUGUUCAAAGCAAGCUCGCGCUCUGAAUACACUAGCAUGGGAUAACACGACAUGACCGAUGGUCUAUCUUGUUGGCCUGUAGACCUGUUGGUAAUGGCUAAUAGGGACGGUCGGGGGCAUUCGUAUUUCGCUGUCAGAGGUGAAAUUCUUGGAUUUUGCGAAAGACGAACUACUGCGAAAAGCAUUUGCCAAGGACGCUUUCAUUAGUCAAGGACGAAA